rnacentral:rRNA from 1 species
AUUGAACGCUGGCGGCAGGCCUAACACAUGCAAGUCGAGCGGAUGAAGGGAGCUUGCUCCUGGAUUCAGCGGCGGACGGGUGAGUAAUGCCUAGGAAUCUGCCUGGUCGUGGGGGAUAACGUCCGGAAACGGGCGCUAAUACCGCAUACGUCCUGAGGGAGAAAGUGGGGGAUCUUCGGACCUCACGCUAUCAGAUGAGCCUAGGUCGGAUUAGCUAGUUGGUGGGGUAAAGGCCUACCAAGGCGACGAUCCGUAACUGGUCUGAGAGGAUGAUCAGUCACACUGGAACUGAGACACGGUCCAGACUCCUACGGGAGGCAGCAGUGGGGAAUAUUGGACGAUGGGCGAAAGCCUGAUCCAGCCAUGCCGCGUGUAUGAAGAAGGUCUUCGGAUUGUAAAGCACUUUAAGUUGGGAGGAAGGGCAGUAAGUUAAUACCUUGCUGUUUUGACGUUACCAACAGAAUAAGCACCGGCUAACUUCGUG